GUGUCAGCAGCCGCGGUAAUACGUAGGUGGCAAGCGUUGUCCGGAUUUACUGGGCGUAAAGGAUGCGUAGGCGGAUAUUUAAGUCAGAUGUGAAAUACCCGAGCUUAACUUGGGUGCUGCAUUUGAAACUGGAUAUCUAGAGUGUGGGAGAGGAAAGUGGAAUUCCUAGUGUAGCGGUGAAAUGCGUAGAGAUUAGGAAGAACACCAGUGGCGAAGGCGACUUUCUGGACCAUAACUGACGCUGAGGCAUGAAAGCGUGGGGAGCAAACAGGAUUAGAUACCCUGGUAGUCC
rnacentral:rRNA from 1 species